GUUGCUUGGCUCUGGUUGGGUUUCCUAGCCUUGACAGCACACUCUCUCCCAGGUGAGCAACAAUGCUCUCCAUGUCUCUUCUCUGCACACGGCCGAGAACUCUGAAGCUUUGGGGCCGUGUGGAGCGAAGCCUAGCGCUGAGCUUUCGGAACCGAUGGGAGCAUCUAGACUGUGCCUAUGAAUGCCUUGCUGGAAGUCAUUGUCAGUCUCUGAAUAGCUUCUGUAUCCAUUUAGUAUUUGCAUCUCUGAUAAUUGUGUAUCAAAGUUUUGCUAUAAAAGUUCUGUCCUUCUGGACUAGGUUGUGGCUUUAGUAAGUAUAAUUUUUUUUUUUUUGGUUCUUUUUUUCGGAGCUGGGGACCGAACCCAGGGCCUUGCGCUUCCUAGGCAAGCGCUCUACCACUGAGCUAAAUCCCCAACCCCAGUAAGUAUGAUUUUUGAACAGUAAAGUUACACUAAGUAAAAACUAAUUGUUUAAAUACUG
rnacentral:lncRNA from 1 species